rnacentral:rRNA from 1 species
CCUACGGGAGGCAGCAGUGGGGAAUAUUGGACAAUGGGCGGAAGCCUGAUCCAGCCAUGCCGCGUGUGUGAAGAAGGCCUUUUGGUUGUAAAGCACUUUAAGCGAGGAGGAGGCUACUAGUAUUAAUACUACUGGAUAGUGGACGUUACUCGCAGAAUAAGCACCGGCUAACUCUGUGCCAGCAGCCGCGGUAAUACAGAGGGUGCGAGCGUUAAUCGGAUUUACUGGGCGUAAAGCGUGCGUAGGCGGCUGAUUAAGUCGGAUGUGAAAUCCCUGAGCUUAACUUAGGAAUUGCAUUCGAUACUGGUCAGCUAGAGUAUGGGAGAGGAUGGUAGAAUUCCAGGUGUAGCGGUGAAAUGCGUAGAGAUCUGGAGGAAUACCGAUGGCGAAGGCAGCCAUCUGGCCUAAUACUGACGCUGAGGUACGAAAGCAUGGGGAGCAAACAGGAUUAGAUACCCUGGUAGUCCAUGCCGUAAACGAUGUCUACUAGCCGUUGGGGUCUUUGAGACUUUAGUGGCGCAGCACGACGAGUAAGUAGACCGCCCGUCGGGAGGUACGGUCGGCGAGAACGUAAAACGUAACGAAAGGAAAGUUAGACGGCGNGGAGGACGUUGCCGACGGGACGACGACGAGGGGAGGGUAGGGAG